CUUGACUGUAGGAAAUAUUCCAUAUGGCUAGUCUCAAAAGCUUGUCCUCCUCCAGAUACCAAUCUCAGGUGCAUGUGGCUUAGCCACUUUUGCUAUCAGGGCGUUUUGGCAUAAAAAGUUAAAGGAAGAUCUUACAACUGAUUCUGAAUCACAGAAAAGCAGAUACAACAAGGAGAGAAAGCCACUACCCAAAAUCUCCUGCUAGCUUCCUUGCUGUGAGGCAACAGCGUCUGGCAGUAUCAGUAAGUGAAAAACCAAAGUUGCCUGUCUUGGGAAAGCUAUAUUUCAGUGAAUGUUGUGAAAAACUUAAGGGUAGAUGAUUGCACUGGCUGAAAAGCAUGUGGCCUGGCAUCUGUAUUCCUGUCACUCUACAACAGUCUGGAUUCAGAUAGUGAGAAAGGGCCAGGUAGACCUGCAAACAACAUACAUACUGGCUUUGGGUACUUCUGAGUACUUUGGAUCAGUGAGUGGCAACUUUCCACCCAGUGUCUUUUCUAGCUCUUGGCAACCUAGGAGUCCUUGAGACUGAAAACUGUCAUCAUAAAACAGCUAAGGGUUCCAGGUAAAUAUCAAUUGUUUUUUGCAACAUUUGGAGCCUGAACUACAUGGUCAACAUGGCAAGACUAAGCUUUUAUAUCUCUGAAAAGCAGCUCCUCUGAGUACAACAGCAUUUUCAGGAAUGCAAGCACAGCCUGCAGUCAAGCAUGCCUUCAGAACUCAGACUCCUAGCUCAUGGGAUUAGGGAGAAGAUCAGCUCAUCCUGGCAACUGGCUGUUGCUCCCCUCCUAGGAUGGCAUGGCCACGCUGAACCCUAGCCCUAUACAGGUAAGCAUCUGCCAGGGAGACAUCCCUCAACUAUUCUCCCAUGUGACCUUUGUUAAGGUGAAAGGAUCAGGCAAGACAUCCUCAUUCUUGUGGCUGUUUAGCUGACCUCUACCAAGACCUUAUGGCAGGAAUGUCAUGUUUCCAUAACCUUGAAGAUACCAAGUAUAUUAUCUGCUCUGCAAAGAGAUAAAGUACACAAGGCCUCCUUGUUUCAUCUUAGAAACUUCAGUUAAUAGAGAUCAGUAAAGCUAAUUGGAGCUCAUUAGUUGUAGAGGCCAAGUAUUCUCAUAGAAAAAUUAUUCCCAGGCCACAAUUAGAGAAUGUCAAUGCUAGAAGAUAUUGAAGGGUGAUUUUUUAAAAAUUCAACCCCCUUUUUUUUUACAGAUGAAAAACAGGCCCAGAAAGGGGAAGUGACUGGCUGCAGGUCAGCCAUGUCACCCACUUCUGAUUAGACCUAGAGUCAGGAACUAGCUGGAAGUCAGGGCUCCAUCACAGCUAACCACAGCAAGCCAUGGUGCAAGACCUGGGCAAAGUUCUAGAAAUCCACACAGAAAAUAUGAAAGAAAAGCAGUUUCCCUGGUGUGGCUUGGUCCUCGACUGGGAGGGAGAACUCUGCACUUUUGCCACACAAAGCCUGGUUGCUCAUCUUUUCCCCAUAGGAAACCACAGAAGCCCCUUUAUUGUUGGGAGCUGGUGGGGACCCAAUACGUUCUUUCCCCAGGAGAUCAGUUCCUAGGAAGCCAUAAACCAGUCUUUUCAUUUUAUUUAGGCCUCACAAUUAUCCAUAGAGAUGGGCAUCCUCAUUCCAAACCAGCAGAGGAACAGACAGAAAGCUGCAAAUGUCUCUGAGCCUCCCUGUCUCAUGGCUCAGGGUGGCCAGCCCCGACUGGAAGCAUAGCUACCUAGUUCUGAGGGCCUUCUGUUCUCACCAUACCCUGCUGCCCAUGCAUAUUGCUUAUCUCAAUAAUACAAACCAUGUUUAUUUGUUUGCUUGCUUUAUUUGUUUCUCCGAUAGAAAAUAUGCUCAAUGGGGGCAGGGGGAUCUUGCCUGUCUUGUUAUUUAGCAUUUCCUUAGGCCUUUGGGCAAUGGUGGAUACUUCUGUAGGUGUUCAGGAAGGGGAAGAUAGAGGACAGGGAAAGGAGGAGGGAGAAAAGGAGGAAGGAUAGAGAGGAAUAAAGGAAGAAAUUCUGCCUAGGUGCCCUGUACCUCUAUUUUCUGUUCUAGAAUCGGAUCAUUAUAAUGACAACCCCUCUAGUGUGCACAACUUCUACCAUUUAUAAAAUGUUUUGGCAUUCUUUGGAUUCUCCCUAUAACCCUGUAAAGUAGAAAGAGAAGCGCUCUUUAUCCCGAUUCUAUAGAUACAUUCACAAAUUGAUCAUCUCCUGAGAACUGCCAAGUACUAACAACCGUGAUAGCCACGGAUGCACCCAUGACCAUAAUAACCUGGUUCUCAUGGGGAUUUCUUUUGACCUGUCUCCCAAAAUAGAGUAUUGCAGGCAACAGGAAGGCCAUAAUGGCGCUGUGUUCACAGAGAGGGAUUUGCUCUUUGAGUCUUCCCCAAGCUCCAUGCUCCAAACAAGGUGGAACCUUGAGAUGAGUUUUAGAAGGGUAUGUGCAGAAGGAACAGUGCAUACAAAGGUGUACACAUUUGAGAAGUGUGGGGCCUUCCAGCAAUGUGUCUGCCACCUAAGGUGCCUGCAGAAGAGCAGAGGCACUGGCCUUGGAACAGAGAGCAGUGACCAGACCUCAGAGAGCCCUCAAUGCCAGGUGAAUAAGCUUGGACUUCAGCCUGGAGACAUAGGGACCACUGAUGUGUAUACACCAGAAAGUGGCCACAUCUGAUCUUCAAGUCAGAAGAUCACUUUCAAGGAGGCAGUAGAGAAGAUAGAAAGGAGAAGGGAAAGGCAGAAAGGGCAGUGAGAACAAUUCCAGGGCUGGAAGGAUCAUCCUGGAGAGAGAGAGGAAGAGAGUCUGCACCAGGCAGCCCUGGGACUCUGCAGCAGAGAGACUCAGGUAGAGUCAACAACAGAAUGGGCUGUGCUUCUGGGAGAGGAGAGAUCUGCCCAGGGUCUCCAUAGAAAAUAGAUGGUAAACCUUGGUCUUCUGUAUCCUGGGUCAAAAUUCUUCCCAUUGCAGGGCAAGUGCUGCCUCACACAUGAACCUUCUGGUCAGUUCCCCCAAGGAGUACUGCGUUCCCCAGGAGCCUACCUUCUGCUCAGCUACCAGCUCCUGGCCCUAUCCCUCCCUGCCUCUGCUUACCACCACAAAUAAAAGCUUCUUUACCUUCCAGGGAGUGUUAGAGAUUACAAAGCUGCCAGCCAUAGGCAACAAUGUCCUCUACCCUUGAGGGUUAAUGUGGGCCACUACCACCUACUGAGGUACCUCCUGUUCAUUCAUUCAUUCAACAUUUAUCUUGUUUAUUUUGUACUGAGCACAGGGAUCCAUUUGGCCUCUCAGAACUUCUCUACAGUUGUCCUUUUGAAGAUUUGUUUAAUGCUAAAGCUCAAAGAGACUUCUGAGCUUUACUUGGGCUCAUGGUAGCCAUGUGAAGUGUCCAGGGCCACAGCAAGCGGGUUAACAGCUCAAGUCCUGAACUCACUUCCAACCCCAUGGGAUUUCCAAUGACCUCUUAGUGGCCUAGGCAAUUAGGACUUCAUCUUCGGUCUGAUCAAAACAGAAUGGUUUUCAUGACAGGAACAGGGAGGAUGUUGACCUACAGAGGAUCCAACAGGGGAGUGACUGUCCUCGGUCCCUAGGAGAGACAAUGGAAGAUCUGGUUGCUCGACACCAUGCACACCAGCAGCACUCUGAUACAUAUGGUGUUUAUCCUUUCCUCAUUCUUUGGUGAUGUGCUCGUUGAUGAGCUGUGGAGCAUAUCCAGAAUGUUUUUGGAGCUGUUAGCUAUUAUGUCCUAAAAAAUAAUAAAUUGCAC
rnacentral:lncRNA from 10 species